GCUUUGUUUCCAAAAUGGAGAACCAGAAGGAGUCUUCUGGCAAUUUCUAGAGAGACGGUGCUUUCAUCUCCAGGUGACCAGUGGGACUGGCACAUCCUGAUGGCACGGGACUGCCAGACUGUAAUCAUCUUUGUAGCAUAUUGUUCUGGGAUCAGCACCUUUGGGGAUACAUUAGUACGGCGAUUGACGGAAAGAAGCUGAAGAGGGAAACCAAAGUGAACCCAGCCAAGAUGUCCAGAACUGUGGAACUGUGGAAACCUACCAGGAAUAUUGCAUUGCAAGGAAGAUCUUGCUGGCUGAAGUUCCUCUACAUUGUGGACAGUCAGAUCAGCUUUCCUCAUAAACAACAGCAAUAGUUUUCUCCAUGAUAUUUGAGAAGUGAGUACAAUAUAAAAUAAAGUUCAGAUUCUU
rnacentral:lncRNA from 7 species